rnacentral:rRNA from 1 species
AUUGAACGCUGGCGGCAGGCCUACACAUGCAAGUCGAACGAGUGGCGGACGUGUGAGUAAUGUCUGGCAAACUGCCUGAUGGAGGGGGUUAACUACUGGACACGGUAGCUAAUUCCGCAUACCCUCCGAUGUGCCCAGAUUGGAGUAGCUAGUAGGUGGGGUAAAGGCUCACCUAGGCGACGAUCCCUAGCUGGUCUGAGAGGAUGACCAUGCAAGCGGAAACUGAGACACGGACCGGACUCCUACGUGAGGCGGCAAUGGGGAAUAUUACACAGUGGGCGCGAGCCUGAUGCAGCCAUGCCGCGUGUAUGAAGAAGGCCUUCGGGUUGUAAAGUACUUGCAGCGGGGAGGCGUUACCCGCAGAAGAAGCACCGGCUAACUCCGUGCCAGCAGCCGCGGUAAUAC